UUUACCGCUUUUUAAAAGAGUAGAAGAGGGGAAAAAGUUGUCGAAUCCAUUAACGAAGUUCUUGAGAGAAAAAAAAGAGAAGAAAAAAAAGAAAUAGAGAAUAAAAAUGAAGGAGCGAAGAAAAAGGGGAGAAAAAAAGGAGAAUAAGUAAAAUCGAUGACAGUUAUGCGGAACACGAAUGAUCCAUUAGAUGAUUUAAGGACACUUGUUAAAAAAAAAAGAAAAGAAAAGAGAUAAACGACACGCGUGAGGAUCUUUUGUGUUUGUCAAGAUCCGCGUAGUCUGUUUUAAUAAUUCGCUGUGAAUUUGAUGAAAAAUAAAUAUACAUAAUUAACAAUUAAAGUUAUUCAAUUAUUUUUUGGUUAAGAAGAUUUAUUACAACUUCCGCAAAUCAUGAUGAGUUUCAGAAAAAUGUCAAUGCCCGAAAAAAAGAGUCGAGAUAAAGGGAUCUGGACACGAACUGCAAUCGAGUACAUGCCAAACGAACGAGUCAUAAGUAUGGUUUAACUUUAACUAUCAUUUUGACAUUCGUGACACAGGAGCAGUUAAUAUACCUUCAUAAAUAUUUCUUAAGCCAAAAUCAUUUGCAUCAAAAAAAGGUUGACAGGGUUUGUCGAGCAGAAAACCCGUUUUUUUUUAUCAACUUCAAUUCGAAAAAGGAAAAAUUUACAAAAAAAAAGGAAAAAAUUCGAUGAAAGAAUAUUUUUUCGUUGAAAUUAACUUGUA